CAAUAGAUAACGCAUGUCUGCAGGUUCAAGAAGAAGGCUCGAUGAUGGCACAUGCACAACUUGCUAAGAGAGUGUGAGACUGAUUCUCUGACCCUGUCACCUGCCUUCAGCACACAUAAGAGAAGGCCCUGACACGAGGCAGCUGGCAUGGGUGCUGAAGUUGUGGUCUUCUGGUCUGCAGCCUCACUGGUAUAUAGACAGGUACAGAAUGAUGAUGCCAGAGCUGAGAAGACAUCAGGCACAGAAGGCUUGGCGUGACUCCCUGGCUGCAGCAAAGAUAUCUCCCUUAGAGCUUAGUAGAAGAUGUGCCAAAACAUCAGAACUGCAGUCAACUAUCCUUGGCUCCAUGCAUCAGAUUGAAGAGAAAUGAAGCAGCUCCUUAAGCCCCCUGGGGACCCCCGUGCAUGCAGCAGUCAGGAUAAUGAAGACCCUGUGAUGAACUGAGACUUGGUCAGUGCCUGCCCUAUAGCAGGUAUCAUUAAGCAGCAUUCCAUCUUCAGCAUGCUCCCAAGAGGGAGAGUACAACCAUUCACUCCUUUCACAGGCGGUGAGACUGAAGACCAGCUUUCUCAGAUCAUACUGUAGGAAAUGACAGAACUAUAGUUGGCAUCCCUGUGCCCAACCUCUGGCAUUUCUCUCCCUCCCCACUAAAUGGAAGAGGACAGCGCUCUCCAAAGUCUUAAUAAUACAGGAGUCUCUGGCCCUGCUGAGGCCACAUGGCAUCCUUGGCACAAUCUCUGUGGCUAAAGGAGUGAAAUAGUCUCAUUAGUCAGCCUGGAUUCUGGGGCCACUUCUAAGGUACAGAGGAAGGUGAUGGGGCUCUGUGAUUUAGGACCCCGGAGAGCGGGG
rnacentral:lncRNA from 13 species